GAAGGAGGAAUCUCUUUGAGAGAAUUAUUAAUUGAAUUUAGUAAACCACUACUUCCUGUGGCAAGAGCCGGCAUAUUAUUUGCAGAAAUAUUGCAGCUUCUCUGCAAACAAAUGAGCCAAAAGGAAGUGGAGGCCUUAUGGAGGGACUCUAAACUGAGCUGUGCUGAUUUUCUUCCUGAAACCGUGGAUGGGAAUUUCAUUUGUUAGUAUAAGAACAUUACAAAUGGCAGCUCGUCUGAUCAGAAAAGAGAAAAGUGUUUGUG